rnacentral:rRNA from 1 species
UACGUAGGGCGCAAGCGUUAUCCGGAAUUAUUGGGCGUAAAGAGCUCGUAGGCGGUUUGUCGCGUCUGCCGUGAAAGUCCGGGGCUCAACUCCGGAUCUGCGGUGGGUACGGGCAGACUGGAGGUAUGCAGGGGAGAACGGAAUUCCUGGUGUAGCGGUGAAAUGUGUAGAGAUCGGGAGGAACACCGGUGGCGAAGGCGGGUCUCUGGGCAAUUCCUGACGCUGAGGCGCGAAAGCGUGGGGAGCAAACGGG